GAUGAACGCUGGCGGCGUGCCUAAUACAUGCAAGUCGAGCGAACGGGCGAGAAGCUUGCUUCUCUGAUGUUAGCGGCGGACGGGUGAGUAACACGUGGAUAACCUACCUAUAAGACUGGGAUAACUUCGGGAAACCGGAGCUAAUACCGGAUAAUAUUUUGAACCGCAUGGUUCAAAAGUGAAAGACGGUCUUGCUGUCACUUAUAGAUGGAUCCGCGCUGCAUUAGCUAGUUGGUAAGGUAACGGCUUACCAAGGCAACGAUGCAUAGCCGACCUGAGAGGGUGAUCGGCCACACUGGAACUGAGACACGGUCCAGACUCCUACGGGAGGCAGCAGUAGGGAAUCUUCCGCAAUAGGCGAAAGCCUGACGGAGCAACGCCGCGUGAGUGAUGAAGGUCUUCGGAUCGUAAAACUCUGUUAUUAGGGAAGAACAUAUGUGUAAGUAACUGUGCACAUCUUGACGGUACCUAAUCAGAAAGCCACGGCUAACUACGUGC
rnacentral:rRNA from 1 species